rnacentral:rRNA from 1 species
GCUUUCCCUCCAGAGUGGAUCCUGAGUACGGCGGAACACGUGAAAUUCCGUCGGAAUCCGGGAGGACCAUCUCCCAAGGCUAAAUACUCCCUAGUGACCGAUAGUGAACCAGUACCGUGAGGGAAAGGUGAAAAGCACCCCGGAAGGGGAGUGAAACAGUUCCUGAAACCGUGUGCCUACAAGUAGUUAGAGCCCGUUAAUG